rnacentral:siRNA from 1 species
GGAGGUGAUUCCGAACAUGGCG